UACGAAGGGGGCUAGCGUUGUUCGGAUUUACUGGGCGUAAAGCGCACGUAGGCGGAUCGUUAAGUCGGGGGUGAAAUCCUGGAGCUCAACUCCAGAACUGCCUUCGAUACUGGCGAUCUUGAGUCCGGAAGAGGUGAGUGGAACUCCUAGUGUAGAGGUGGAAUUCGUAGAUAUGUGGAGGAACACCGAUGGCGAAGGCAGCCUUCUGGGCCAACACUGACGCUCAUGCACGAAAGCGUGGGGAGCAAACAGG
rnacentral:rRNA from 1 species